rnacentral:rRNA from 1 species
UACGGAGGGGGCUAGCGUUAUUCGGAAUUAUUGGGCGUAAAGGGCGUGUAGGCGGCUUCGUAAGUCUUGUGUGAAAGCCCUCGGCUCAACCGAGGAAUUGCACGAGAAACUGCGUGGCUCGAGUCCGGGAGAGGAUAGUGGAAUUCCCAGUGUAGCGGUGAAAUGCGCAGAUAUCGGGAGGAACACCAGUAGCGAAGGCGACACUCUGGGCCGGUACUGACGCUGAGGAGCGAAAGCGUGAGGAGCAAACAGG